rnacentral:rRNA from 1 species
AUAUCAGUCAUGCAUAGCAUAUCAAUAAGCGGAGGAAAAGAAACUAACAAGGAUUCCCUUAGUAACGGCGAGUGAAGCGGGAAGAGCUCAAAUUUGAAAUCUUCAAGGUUUUACCUUGACGAAUUGUAGUUUAAAGAAGUGUUUUCUGUUGAAGUUUUGGUAAAAGUUCUUUGGAAUAGGACAUCAUAGAGGGUGAGAAUCCCGUAUUUGACCAUUACUUUCAGCUUUGUGAUACACUUUCAAAGAGUCGGAUUGUUUGGGAAUGCAGUCCAAAAUGGGUGGUAAAUUUCAUCUAAAGCUAAAUAUUGGCGAGAGACCGAUAGCGAACAAGUACCGUGAGGGAAAGAUGAAAAGAACUUUGAAAAGAGAGUUAAACAGUACGUGAAAUUGUCAAAAGGGAAGCGUUUGACACCAGUGUUGUUUUCUCGAAAAUCAAUUAAAAAGAGUUGGAUUUUGUGUUGUAUUGACUUUAUCAGCUUUCUUCACUCUUUUCCAGCUUUUUUUAAUGCACUUUUCGUUUAACAAGUCAACAUCAGUUUCUUUUGUUGUAAAAAGGUCAUUGGAAGGUGGCUUUCUCUUCGGAGAAAGUGUUUAUAGCCUUUGACUCAUGCAAUCGGAGAGACUGAGGUCUGCAGCGUAGAUCCUUCGGGGUUAGAUACAUUUGUGCUAAGUUAUAGCUCUUCAUAGACAACUUGUUGACUAUGUUUAGUCUUGUAGCUUACUCGCUUAUGCUAUUUUACCUACGCUUAGGAUGUUGAACUCUAUCACACACA